GGGGUAGUAAAGGUUUCGACGGGGGCUGUGAAUCCGGAGAAGCUAUCCGCAGGGCGAUGCGUCAAAUCCCACCCUAAAUAUAAACGCUGACGAUAAUUAUCAGCUCGCUGCGGCUUAAUUAGCCUAGGCUGUCCGCCACAGAGCACCUGCACUUUGUGAUACGGGCAUCGAUCAUGCAGGAAACGACACGCGCAAAGCUUUGAGCGCGCGGGCGUAUCAUGAAGCUACCGAGACCGUCAGAGCGUCUGCUCCCGGGCGGCGGGGGGAAUCCUAAACGGCAGACUACGAUAGUAGAAGGACGGUGGACCGGCUUUCGGACACGAGUUCGACUCUCGUCUACUCCACUU
rnacentral:tmRNA from 1 species